UGACGAUUGGAAAUCAGUGUGAACUUCUAUGAACAUUGAAAGAUUUGCGCACAUCGGCACUCCACCUGGAGGUCAGUCUCAACCCAAGGCAUCCGUUCCUCUUAUGUCAACCUCAGGGUGUCCAGGCACUUAGAUGAAGGCAACUCAUUUUAUGGAGUUUUGCUAAACUUUUGAUUUUGUACCCUGAUUGUCUGUCUAAAGAGGAAGUGUAUAUAAUCCUUUUACCUUUCAAUGCUUUUGUUAUAUGCCCAAUCUUGAGGGCUGGGUCUGUAUAUGUAUGUGUAUAAGCAUAUAGCUAAAUUCUCAGAUGCACGUCACUAUAUGUUUAUUUGCCUUAUGUUCCGUUAGUGAUCCUGGCAUGGUAGUUAUAGCUCAA